CAUUAUGUAUUUUCAGUUCCUCUUUCAAAGAAAACUCAAACCCUAAUCCCUAGUUUGAGUUUGCAGUUCCCACUUACCCUCUCUUACACACAAUGAAUUCUCCAUCUCCUUAAUUCUACGCCCAAUGGAAACCCUAAUUGUGUUCUGCAAUCAAUCCAUUUAGUAUGAAAUUUUUAAAAUUUCGAAAGAGAUUCAAGUAUAAGAAAUUGAUGUAGUUUAGUGGGCUUGUUUCCUUUCUGAUCUUGUGAGUUGCAAUUAAAAUUGUUUUUUUUUUCAUCUUAGAUUGUCCCUGUUUGUGCUUGGUUGUUGUCUGAUUUUGCUUUUAAAGGUUUUAAAUAUAGGUCGUGUUACGGUUUUGUAGCGUUUGUUAAUAUCACGGCAAAUCACAGACAAAUGCAGUUGAUACUGUCCUAGUUGAGGUUGUUUUGCGAUCGCGGACAGUUAACAAAACCAUGAUGCUGUGGCCAAAACAAUGGUUGCGGUCCCUGUUUUUAAAGCCAUUGAAAACUUACAAGUUGCUAUACCUGUUAGAUUUUACGAUGAGUGUGAUAGUUUUUUGCACUGGCAAGUUCAAUUGUUUGUGUCUCUAGAUUAUUUGAACAAUAUCUUGCUUCAUAAACUAAAAUUCAAGUGCAAAGAUGUUGCAUAUGAUGGUUUACACUUGAUCUCUGAACUUCAGGUAAGUUCAUAUGUUGAAAAGUACAUUCACUGAUGCUUUCUCUUUGCACUUGAUCAUGAAUCUGCCAGAAAAAAAAAUGCUUAAGACGAGGAUUGAGGGCAUUGUAAUUAUGAAAGAUGCUGACAUUUUUUGAAGUUAUUGCUGUAUGGUGUAUUAUGGUGUGCAUCUGCCUCAUCUCAGCAGAUACUAUGAUUAUAGAAUGGGGGAAUGAUUAGCAUUAUGUAAAAAAUACUUUGCACAUCUGUUUCAUAAUCAAUUGUUGCGUUGCACUCUUUUUUUUAUUUUUGAAGUGUACUCCAUACCUUAAGAGAAGUUAAAUUUGGUAAGACACUACCUCACAUUUCUCUACUUCAAUGUUGUAGAUAAUGGAAGAUGUUUUGUAGGGCGAUAGGAUACAUUGUUUCAUAUGAUGCAUGAUUGAGUUUAGAGUGGGUUAUGCUUCUUGUAUGCAUGGACAUCUUUGGUCAGUACUUUGUUGUUGUUCUCAACAAUUGUACUUCACAUUGCUGGAACUUUUUCUUUCUUGUUGGCAGUGCUUGUACCGCAUUAAUAAUAUUUAUUUGGUAGGUAAAAAAAUGACAAACAGGAUUGAAUAUAAAUAUUUUCUGAGGCAUUUGAACAACAAUUUUAAAAAGAAAUUUUAUGUUUUAUGGUGAUACAUGUUAAAAUAAAGAAAUUAACAUCAUCAUAUUGGAUGAUAAUAACAUGAUAAAAUAUUAGAGGGAUUGAAAUGGGUGCAAAAUUUUAGAAGGACCAAUUUUGAAUUUCACAUAUUUUAAAAGGGAUCCAAAAUAUAUUUUCUCGUUAAAAUAUUGUUGUAACAAUACAUCAAUGAAAAACAAAAGGGAUCGACGUCACUUGUUAGCUGUCCUGCAAAGGUUGUUAGAUAAUUUUAAUCUAAAAGUGACUCGUUUAAUUAUGGAAUGAUUUUUAAAAAUGUCAAUUCAGUUGAAUCAAAUGUCUCCUGUUCUUAGGAGAGGUUGGAACUAAACGUCCACAGUUCUAGGAUAAAAAUGUCAAUUCAGGAUAAAAACAUGUUAAGAAAAAACUUUUAAAAAAUAAAAUACCAACACAAUCUGAAACAUUCAUUCUUUUAAUUUAAAUCCUAUGGCAUGCAACUAGGGUAUAAUUAAUAUUUACUAAAUUUAAAUUAAUAGUUUUAGCUACUGUUCAUAAUUUUUGUGCUGGUCUAUCGGUGGACCACCUAUUUCACAUGUCCACCGUAAAAAUUGCCGUGAUAAAAAAUAGCUUUUAUCUUUAGAAAACACUGUUUGGUAGAGUGAAAAAAAAAAUGAAAGGAAAAAGAAAUGAAAAUUUUAAAUUAAAAUAGAGUAAAAGUCUCCACAAAUUUUUAGUAUUCGUUUUACUCCUUUUCUACCAUCUUUUGCCUCUACCAAACAGACCAUAAGCAGCAUGCACAACAAUAUUUCAAAACCUAGUUCUUCAAAGCCCGCUACCCAUAAUUUUUCAGCCACCAAUGAAUUUAGUUAAAUUUUGGCCCUGAUUAGCAACCAAAAAGUUUUUACAGGAAGAACAAAAAUACAAGGGUUCCUUCAAAAGAAACAAACAAGUCUUUUUUGCUAAAUUAAACUGGUGCUGCUGUCUUAAUGUUGUAUCGAUGUCCUGCAUCUGUAAAAAUACAGCAUUUCUUCCUCCACAGGAUGGGUCUGGC
rnacentral:lncRNA from 1 species